CAGCAGCCACGGUAAUACGUAGGUGGCAAGCGUUGUCCGGAAUUAUUGGGCGUAAAGCGCGCGCAGGUGGUUUAAUAAGUCUGAUGUGAAAGCCCACGGCUCAACCGUGGAGGGUCAUUGGAAACCGUUAAACUUGAGUGCAGGAGAGAAAAGUGGAAUUCCUAGUGUAGCGGUGAAAUGCGUAGAGAUUAGGAGGAACACCAGUGGCGAAGGCGGCUUUUUGGCCUGUAACUGACACUGAAGCGCGAAAGCGUGGGGAGCAAACAGGAUUAGAUACCCGGGUAGUCCCUGUCUCUUAUAA
rnacentral:rRNA from 1 species